rnacentral:rRNA from 1 species
UACGAAGGGUGCUAGCGUUGUUCGGAAUUACUGGGCGUAAAGCGCGCGUAGGCGGCUUAACAAGUCAGAGGUGAAAUCCCCAGGCUCAACCUGGGAAUUGCCUUUGAAACUGUUAAGCUUGAGUGUCGGAGGGGAUAGCGGAAUUCCUAAUGUAGAGGUGAAAUUCGUAGAUAUUAGGAGGAACACCGGUGGCGAAGGCGGCUAUCUGGACGACAACUGACGUUGAGGCGCGAAAGCGUGGGGAUCAAACAGG